UACGUAGGGGGCUAGCGUUGUCCGGAAUCAUUGGGCGUAAAGCGCGUGUAGGCGGUCCGGUAAGUCCGCUGUGAAAGUCGGGGGCUCAACCCUCGGAUGCCGGUGGACACUGUCGGGCUUGAGUACGGAAGAGGCGAGUGGAAUUCCUGGUGUAGCGGUGAAAUGCGCAGAUAUCAGGAGGAACACCAAUUGCGAAGGCAGCUCGCUGGGACGUUACUGACGCUGAGACGCGAAAGCGUGGGGAGCAAACAGG
rnacentral:rRNA from 1 species